rnacentral:rRNA from 1 species
GAUGAACGCUGGCGGCGUGCCUAAUACAUGCAAGUCGAGCGAAAAGACGAGGCGCUUGCUCCUUUCACGUUAGCGGCGGACGGGAGAGUCACACGUGGAUCACCUACUUAUCAGUCUGGGAUAAUCUCGGGAAACCGGAGCUAAUACCGGAUGAUAUAUUGAACCGUAGGGUUCAAUAGUGAAAGACGGCUUUGGUGUCAGUUAUAGAUGGAUCCGGGCCGGAUUAGCUAGUUGGUAAGGUCACCGCCUUUCAAGGCAACUAUGCGUAGCCGAACUGAGGGGGUGGUCGCCGACCCGGGAGCUGAGACACGGUCCUGGCUCCUGCGGUACGGCGCAGUCGGGUAUCGUCGGCAGUGGGGGGAAGCAUGACACAGCAAGCGCACGUGAGUGAUGACGGUCUUGGGUUCGUAAAGAUGUGUUAUUGGGUAAAAACAGCUGUGGACUUAGCUGAGGACGGCGUGACGGUACCGAGUCAAGAAGCCCCGGCUAACUACGUG